UGUCCGCCUGUCAAUAAAGCUUGAACAAGCGCCGGGCCGGGGACGCGCGGGCGGGGGUUUUUUCUUUUUCUUUUUUUUUUUUUUUUUUUUGGUUGAACGAACUUUAUUGUUCCUGGGGCGCCGCGCGCGCGCGGAGGGGAUGCGCUGAGGCCGCUCCGCCGUCGGCCCCGCUCCCCCCGGCCCGGCCUCGGCAUGUCGGGCAGCCGCCCGCCGCCGCACCCCGCCGCGCCGCCCGCCGCCACCCCGGCCUCCUCCUCUUCCUCCUCCUCCUCCUCCUCUUCUUCGGCGGCCAUGGCGCCGGGCUCGUCCUCCUCAGGCGGCGCGGCGGCGCGGCCUGUGCUGGUGGCGGCCGCCGUGUCGGGCUCGGGCGCAGGGCUAGCCCGGCUGGCGGCGGCGGCGCGGCCCGGCAGCGGCGGCGGUGGCUCCUCUGCGGGAGGCGGCGGUAGCGGCGCGGGCGGCGGCGGCAGCAGCAGGAAGAGGCCGCUGCUCACCCCGCUCUGCAACGGGCUCAUCAACUCAUACGAGGACAAGAGCAACGACUUCGUUUGCCCCAUCUGUUUUGAUAUGAUUGAAGAAGCCUACAUGACAAAAUGUGGACACAGCUUCUGCUAUAAAUGUAUUCACCAGAGCUUGGAGGACAAUAACAGAUGUCCCAAAUGCAACUAUGUUGUGGACAACAUAGAUCAUCUUUAUCCCAAUUUCUUAGUCAAUGAACUUAUUCUUAAACAGAAGCAAAGAUCUGAGGAGAAAAGACUCAAACUGGACCAUUCAGUGAGUAGCACCAAUGGCCAUAGGUGGCAGAUAAUUCAAGACUUGUUGGGAACUGAUCAAGACAAUCUUGACUUGGCCAAUGUCAACCUGAUGCUGGAGCUGCUGGUGCAAAAGAAGAAGCAGUUGGAAGCAGAGUCCCAUGCUGCCCAAUUGCAGAUCCUUAUGGAAUUCCUCAAAGUUGCCAGGAGAAACAAACGAGAGCAAUUGGAGCAGAUCCAGAAGGAGCUAAGUGUUCUGGAAGAAGAUAUUAAACGAGUAGAGGAAAUGAGUGGCUUGUACUCCCCAGUCAGUGAGGACAGUACGGUGCCGCAGUUUGAGGCUCCCUCACCUUCACACAGUAGUAUUAUUGACUCCACGGAGUAUAGCCAGCCUCCAGGCUUCAGCGGCAGCUCUCAGACCAAAAAGCAGCCGUGGUAUAACAGCACUCUAGCCUCACGACGCAAGCGGCUCACAGCUCAUUUUGAGGACCUAGAGCAGUGCUAUUUUUCCACCAGGAUGACACGUGUCUCGGAUGACAGCAGAACAACAAGCCAGCUGGAUGAAUUUCAGGAGUGUCUAUCCAAGUUCACGCGCUACAAUUCUGUUCGACCCCUGGCAACACUGUCUUACGCUAGUGACCUCUACAAUGGCUCCAGCAUAGUGUCCAGUAUUGAGUUCGACCGAGACUGUGACUACUUUGCCAUCGCUGGGGUGACAAAGAAGAUUAAAGUCUAUGAGUAUGGUACAGUCAUUCAGGAUGCGGUGGAUAUUCACUACCCUGAGAAUGAAAUGACCUGUAAUUCCAAAAUCAGCUGUAUCAGCUGGAGUAGUUACCACAAGAACCUGCUAGCCAGCAGUGACUAUGAAGGCACUGUCAUCCUUUGGGAUGGAUUCACAGGACAAAGAUCCAAGGUCUACCAGGAGCAUGAGAAAAGGUGCUGGAGUGUUGACUUUAACUUGAUGGACCCAAAGCUAUUGGCUUCAGGCUCUGAUGAUGCCAAAGUGAAGCUGUGGUCUACCAACUUGGACAACUCAGUAGCAAGCAUCGAGGCCAAGGCUAAUGUGUGUUGUGUCAAAUUCAGCCCCUCUUCUAGGUAUCACCUAGCUUUUGGCUGUGCAGAUCACUGUGUUCACUACUACGAUCUUCGCAACACUAAACAGCCAAUCAUGGUGUUCAAAGGGCAUCGCAAGGCAGUCUCCUACGCAAAAUUUGUGAGCGGGGAAGAAAUCGUCUCUGCGUCAACAGACAGUCAGCUGAAGCUGUGGAACGUAGGGAAGCCUCACUGCUUGCGCUCCUUCAAGGGUCACAUCAAUGAGAAGAAUUUUGUAGGGCUUGCAUCCAACGGAGACUACAUCGCCUGUGGAAGCGAAAAUAAUUCCCUUUACCUAUACUAUAAGGGCCUAUCAAAGACACUGCUGACGUUCAAGUUCGAUACCGUCAAAAGUGUCCUGGACAAGGACCGGAAAGAAGAUGACACAAAUGAGUUUGUGAGUGCUGUAUGCUGGAGGGCACUACCAGAUGGGAAAGACCUUCUACAAAGCAGACUGCUCUGGCCAAGUUUCUUCGACCACCAAAUAACAGCAAGUCUGGGGUGUGUGUGCCUGGGGGAAGACUUGACUCGUUUAGAGUGAAAUAUGACGCAGCCUAAAGUCCAGUUCACCUCCCUUUUGUAUUCUGCCAUAACGGAGUCCAACGUGCUGAUUGCUGCUAACAGUCAGGGUACAAUUAAGGUACUGGAGCUGGUAUGAAGGGUUUUCUGUCAAGGCAUGAGGUACUUGGUCCUGCUGAUAUGCUACAGUACUCAUCUGGGAUCCUCAGUGGGACAAGAAACCGAAAACACCUUGAUGUUCCUCCCCAAAACCAUCAUGUUUGGGUUUUUUCCAUUUACGGACUUUCUGGGACGUUUGAGACACUGGAAACGCCAGUGAACUGUCUGCCAUCAACAUUAACUCCACAGACUUUGCUGCUGCUGGUGGUGGUGGUAUGGUUGUCUAAUUUUUAUGAUAGGAAAACAAAUUCUUUUAAAUAAAAACAAAAAGGAAUAAUAAAAUUUAUUGAGCCACAA